rnacentral:rRNA from 1 species
GUGGGGAAUCUUAGACAAUGGGCGCAAGCCUGAUCUAGCCAUGCCGCGUGAGCGAUGAAGGCCUUAGGGUUGUAAAGCUCUUUCGCUGGGGAAGAUAAUGACUGUACCCAGUAAAGAAGCCCCGGCUAACUCCGUGCCAGCAGCCGCGGUAAUACGGAGGGGGCUAGCGUUAUUCGGAAUUACUGGGCGUAAAGCGCACGUAGGCGGACCAGAAAGUCAGGGGUGAAAUCCCGGGGCUCAACCCCGGAACUGCCCUUGAAACUCCUGGUCUUGAGUUCGAGAGAGGUGAGUGGAAUUCCGAGUGUAGAGGUGAAAUUCGUAGAUAUUCGGAGGAACACCAGUGGCGAAGGCGGCUCACUGGCUCGAUACUGACGCUGAGGUGCGAAAGCGUGGGGAGCAAACAGGAUUAGAAACCCGAGUAGUCC